UGCCAAACUAUACUUCCAACCCCUCCCCCUUAACAACCAUAAAUCAUUUGAGAAUUUUGUGUAGUGGUGGCCAAAACUUCUUCAACAGGUAUCAGUAGUAAUUUUGAAAUUUCAUGAGCUACAAAGAUGACUGUAUAUGGGUUAGCAAUUUCUUCUUUAUAGCGGAUAUAUGGUGCAUCAGAUUCCAAAACUAUUCUGUCGAUUCCUUUAUUGCAAAUGAAUUGUUUGAUGGUUGGAUAUUUGUUGGUAAAG
rnacentral:lncRNA from 1 species